GCCCUGGUAGCAAGACCAAGAGCUUCCGAAGAACGCUGCGCCCUUAACUAGGGGGCCUCGCAGAGAUGCCUGUGUGGGCCUGCAUUGUAUAUUUCUGCGAAAUAGCGAAUGGACACGUUUGCUCAGGGUUUUUAUGGUUGCCAAAGGGGGUAAAAUUACCCAGUCCCCCAAAUCUGUGUCCCAUGAAUCCCUCUCAUAGUACCCCUCUCCAGGGGGCCAAGAGGUCCUCCAGGUCCCCGUGGGUUCGCAGCUCCACCCGCCCUUCCUCGCCCUGCAUCCCUAAGGAGAGGUGUCCGCUCUGAAGGGCUAGGGGCCAGCCAUGGAGUGAGGGGACCGGGGCUGACCACGCGCGGCACAGACAGAGGUCCUCAGGCGGGCCCUCUCCUGGACGGUGGGGCCGGAGCUGAUCUAGAAGAAAUACGGAGGGACGUGCCGAGAAGCCGCUCUCCUUCGCCGCGACCCUGGAGAGCGCCUCUCCACCCAAAGGAUCUGCCGAGCUGAGAGAUCCAGGGCGGGCGUCCGCAGCCGUGAGGCCCCCUGCGCCGCCAGUAUGGGAAGAUCCUGCCUCCUUACACCUUGGAGAACGCUGGGCGACGACUAAAGCGCCUUCCGCCGGCCUGUCACUCCAUGUGACACAGGAGCCACGUGAGACCCAGAAGAGUCCAGCGACUCGCCGCGCGGCGCACUUUAAACUCUAGCCUGAGUCUGCGACCCCUCCAGCUCUCCAGUCCCCAGCUGUUGGGGACAUCAAGCCGGAGCCCUGGGCUCUCUGCCCUGUGGGUCGCUGAAAGCAGAGACUCCUCAAACCAACCGAACCGGGCGCAUUAACCCUCUCGCCUGCACCCCGCUGCCUCCCGGUUGAGCCCCGAGGCGGCUCCAGGUAGAACCUGCUGGACUGACUGCGGCGUCCAGAAAUCUGGAGUGUGGGCUCCAGACACUCUCCACGGUUUGGCCCCGGGUCUCAACACCCAAGUCGCCUCUUCUGGCUCCUUCACCACACAGCGGGGCCUGUGGAAAGGGAGGGGCCGAGAGACCCGUCGGCGCACCACUGUCCUCGAGGGGUCCCCACCCUGUGCACUGCUGAAGCGCAGGGCGCGCCGCGGCAGGAAUGGCCCCGAGUGCGGAUCCCCUGCCCUGAGCCUCCCACUCUUGGCCCGCGCUGCGCCUACCCAGUGGCCCUGGCCCCGCAGGGCGACAGCGGCUGCUCCCUCCCAUUUGCGUCCCAGACCGCGCGGCCU
rnacentral:lncRNA from 1 species